GGAAAUGGCAACCCACUCCAGUGUUCCUGCCUGGAGAAUCCCAGGGAAGGUGGAGCCUGAUGGGCUGUCGACUUUGGGGUUGCACAGAGUCGGACAUGACUGAAGCGACUUGGCAGCAUGUUAAUUGCUAGUGGUUGAAGUUUUGAAAUCUAGAUGCAUUCUUCACUUGAUACUAGCCAAAAGGGCAAGAAACGUUAGAUAUGGUCUCAGAUAUUGUACAUUAUUCUCAGAGUUACAGAUGACCUAAUCUACAAAUUUGGAAGACUUAAAAAAAAAAUAAGCUUAAAGAUAUUUUUUUUCCUCUUCCCUAUUUCCCAACUUGCUCCUUUUAAGGAAGUGUGAUGAAAUUAAGGAUGUCUGUGAUCUGGCCAGAAGAGGUUCACAAACACUGUUUCCAUGUUUGUGGUUUUGGUGUUUCCUCCUGCACAUGUCUUCCUUCUUCAGUUUCUUACUGGGUCAGGAGAGAAUUGGCUGCUCUUUUUGGGUAAUGUGCAUAUAUCAGAUGGGCUCUGUGGGGGCUUAGUCUCUAGCAGAAACCAUGAAGCCCAAGAGUUGGUGAGCCAAUUAAGAAAUUCCCCUUGAAGAAUUCCUUGUGUGGACUGCUUAUCAGAAAAGAUGUAAAUGCUAUUAUUGAUGAUUUUCUAGAUAUCAAAUAUGCAAUACAGUUUAGUGUGAUUAAAAGUCACCAUGCUCCAUGCUCUGAGGGGUACAAAAAAAAAAAGUGAAAAGGGGAUGAUCUUUAGAAACUUGGAAUUCAGGGGAUAAAGUUGAACUCUAGUGACCGUAGUUCAAGACAGCUCAGUUCCUCUUAGAGUACAAAGAAGGGAAAGAUGAGCUCUAACUGGGUUGAACAGAGACAGUUGUAUGGAGGAAAAAAAUGAGCACUUGAGCUAAAAUUUGAGGUAUAGGUAGAAUUCUGAUGGAUGAAGACUCAGGAAAGGGGCUCCUAUUGACUAGAAACAAAGGUACCAAGGCAGUAGUUUGAGGACAGAUUGAAAUCUGCUUUGAAUAUAUAGGAAGGGACAUAUGAAGGGAAGUUUGGAAGCUUCAACUGUCUAGGGAGGUCAGAACCAGACUGAAAGGAAAAUGCUGGUGAAAGAGUUGGAAUAGAGAGCAAGGAAUGAAAAGUUUUUGAGGUGGUGAGUGAUACAUUUAGGAAGAUUAUUCUAGCAGCAGGAUUAAAUAGAUGUGGUAAAGACUAAAGAGAAGUAACUCUGUUAAGUGGUUAUCACAGUCAGCCAUUUACCUGGUAAUCAUACCAACAGAGGCUUGGUUUGUUAAACCACAUAAAAGUCGCUAAUCUUCCCCCUCUUUUUUUUCCCCUGAAAAAAUUGCGCUCUGGCAUUUGCCCAUUUUAGCAUAACCUUUGUAUAACUUUGGAAUGCAAAAACACAGAGAGAAAAGCAUACACUCACUUAAAAAGUCAGCCUAAAACUUCUAGUUUAUGCUUUUUGAUUAAUAGGUAGAGAGUUCUUACAUAAGACGUUGAUGUCCAUUCUUUUCCUUAUUAAAUGACUGUGUGACAUUGGGCACAUUACAGAUCAUAAUGUAGUGAUUUGAUAGUGCAUGAUUUAAGAUACAUUUUUGUCCUGAUUUGCAAGUGUCCUGACAAAUGUUAAGCAAAAAAGCAUGCCUCUCCAUGCCCUUUGUUCAUCUGAGUGAUUUUUUUCAAAAGCGUGAUUCUGAAAUGGUUCGGGCACGAAGCCAAGUGAGAGACCAUUGCCGCCGCCGCUGCUUUCCGCUGCGGGUACUGUCACUUCGUGGCUUUGCUGUGGUUCACCUGAGCGAAGGUGCUGGGCUGGUUCGUUUAGACAAGGCAGCAAGCGUUCAUCCCCCUCAAUCCUGAGUCCUCACCCUGGUGUAUAAAUAUUACACUCUUCAGCCAAGGCUGUUUACACUUGUGUAUGAGACAUUUGAUUUUUAAAGGAUCAACAGUUAUAAAUAGAUUGAAGCACCUUUAUUUUAGAUUACGAGCUGAUUACAUGGAAGCUGAUUGUUCCCAUUAAACAGUUACACUGAUAUACUGAUAUACACUGAUAUACUUAAGUUCUUAAAAGAAGUUUGUUGAGGGUUAUGAUUUAUAAAAAUGGAGUAUUUUUACUCCACUUCUUCCUUCACUUCCUCCCUUCUACUUUAUACAUAACCUCCUGUCAUUAUUGAUAUUUAUCACAUGUAAGAUUCUCUUGCUUAAUUCUUUAAAAUGAGCUACCAUUUAUUAGCUAUUCUUGGCUAAGCACUCUACACAUAUUAUUUCAUUUAAUCUUCUCAACAGUUCUUUGAGGGAGUUAUUAUUAUCCCAGUUUUUGAGAUGAGGAGGAUAGGGACGCAGAGAGAUUAAAUAACUUGCCCAAAGAUACAAAGCUAGUAAUUGGCAGAGCCAAACUUAAAACCAGAUCUGGGACUUUCCUGGUGGUCCUGUGGUUAAGAAUCCGCCUUGCAAUGCAGGGGACACAAGUUAGAUCCUUGGCUGCGAAAUGAAAAUCCCACAUGCCACAGGGCAGCUAAGCCUGUGCACAGCAACUACUGAGCCAGCGUACUCCAGAGCCCGUGCGCCUCGGCAGAAGACCCUGCAUGAUGCAACAAAGAUCUCGCGUGCUGCAGCUAAGACGCGAUGCUGCCAGAUAAAUAGAUGUUAAAACAAAGUCAGAUCUGUUCGAUUGAACCUGAUGUCUUAACCACUAUACUUCCUUGACCACUGUCUUCUUUGGUGCCAGAAGAUGAUGGGGUCCUAGUUUUGGUAAUGGAAGAACACUGGUCCAGAGUGGCUAUUUGCAUAAAGGAGCCAUAGACUUUUAAGAAUGGAAGGGUAGGUGAAGGUCACGAGCCCACACAUAAAACAAAAGUCUUGUGUAUCUUGAGAUAUGCUGUCUAUUCAGCUAGAUUCAUGUAGUGCUUUGGGUAGUUAGUGUACUAGUAACAGUGUCCUAUGGGAAAAGGGAAAGUUUUAUCAAAAAAAAAAAAAAAGAUUUUGUGGUGGAGGUGAAGGCAGAAAGAGGCAUUCAGUGUGGAAUAAAGUACUUGAAGGAUCUCUGCUUUUUCAUGUGCAGUGUCUGAUUUGAUGACAUCUGGAAUUUGUCUCAAAAUAAUACAGGAGGAGAGAAGUGGAUGUGGAUGGGGCUGGAUUGGCCAUGGUUUUGAUGGUUGUUGGGUUGUGUGAAGGAUGCUUGGGUUUUAUUAUAUUUUUCUGUCUAUUUUGGUGUAUGUUCAAAAUCCUCCAUAAUACAAUGUUUUAAAAAUGUUACUUGAAAGCCCUGUUUUCAUGAUUUUGUAGUGGUUAGAUUAUGUAUAUGUAUUCUUAUCCAAAAAGUGUCUCAUAUGUUUUAGUCAAAAACAGCGUUUUUUUCCGUAGCAUUUGGUCCCUCUUAGAAUCUCCUUCAUCUCUUUUUCUGAAUAUUUGUGUUAAAAAAAAAAAAACUCAACUUUUUCAGUGCUGAAGGUGAAGUUAACUGUCAGCUGCCUAUAUGGCUGCAGCAUUGGGAUAAUUUAUCUAAUUUCUCUUGUGAGUAACUUCUCUUUGACAUUAUUUUUGAACUCGAAGACUUGCUUGCAUUGUUCUUGUUAGUAAAAAAAAAAAAAAAAAAAUCGCUAGGAUGUACUUAGUAAUUGGAGUCAGCUGCACUUAAGACUGUUCAGCCAGACUGUUAUUUUAGCCUUCACUAGUAGGGUUUUUAACACCAGUUUGACCUUACUUUGAAACAUUCUCAAAAUACCAUACUUUAAUAUCGAUUUAUAUACUUUCAUACUAAGGCAGGGCAGGGUCCCAGGGGAAAAAAAAUAAUGAAACUCUGACUUCCCACAAAUACAAGAAUAAAGGUAGAUUUUCCAAUUUUGUUUUUGAAAGAAAAAUGGGGAAGACUUUGGGUAAAGUUUUCCUUUGGGUAGGGCAUAAUGUUUGCAAAUGCAUUCUAAGUGUACAAGUGACAGAAAGCUCAGACACCUAUUAUACAGCUCGGAUUCCCUUGGCCUCUGUGCCUUACAACUGCUUGAGGAUGGAGACUGAAUCCUCAGUUUAUACCCCCAAGCGAAUGCUCUGUGAUUUGUUUCUGAGUGCUAAAUACUAAUUUUCCCAGUUUUUAUGGCGGUUAUACUUUAGGCAAGGAAAGUGCAAAUUUUAUAAAAUUUGCUGAAAAUACCCUCCACGUUUUUGUUCAUUCCAGAGGAGGACAGUGUUCUGACUCCUUUCUCUUUGCCGUUGUCCCUCCUUUCUUAGCCUCUGGUUAACUCCCAUCUAGUAGAAUGUCAGAGGCAGAGUAGACUUGGGAGUGCAGAUAUUCUGUUCUAACAUGCGCGCCUAGGGUUAUAGUAUUCUCAGGACUUCAGUGCUCUCUCUGAGGCUGCGACUAUCAGCAGACCCAUAUAAGGCAGCUGGACUGCCUCCCCUGUCCUCUGAGCCUCCUGCGCGUAUGUCUAGAUACCGUGAUAGAUCCAGUGCCUGUGAAGACCUGGAACGUUUCAGACAAUAACUCAGACUUGUUUUCUUAUGCUAUAUAUAGGAAUUGAGCAAGUGUUUUAUAAUGAAAUCUCCCUGCAGGCACUCCACAUCUCCUGGUGGAGUGAUGCAGAACCCUCAGACACCCAGUAAACAGUCCUUUUCAAGUUUAAAAUUCUUUCGGCCGCUUUUUUUCUCUGUUACCUUUCUGAAAUAUUUGGCCUUAUAUUUUUCAUAAAAUAAUAAAAUCUGUGCGAGAUUAAAAUUUUCUGAUGGUUGAUCCUCAGUAGCUAAAAAACAGAUUCCGUAACAACGCAACGUUUCUCUGCAGGUUCUGGAGCUUAAGUUCUUGGACUGGUACAGUUGUUCUUAUUAACCCUUUAUUUCCUUGAGUGCUCCAAGUCAACGAUUGGAAUUGUUUUCAAGUGACUGAGAAAGCUAAAGGUUAAAGAUAAUAUGGUAGUAAGUUGAUUUACAUCAAAGAAUUAUUUCAUCUAGAUUCACGGAAAUGAUGAUGCUGGUGAGAUUUCCAGACCAGAAUCAGGCCAGCAGAGUACUUUCUCAGUGGCUCUAAACUUGUUUGGCUUACCCCUGCUCAGGUUUAAAAACAGAAGAAAAAAAAAAAAACCAUAAAAGUGUUUAAAUUUUUCUUUCUCUUUCCUUAUCAGAAAUAUUCAUUUAGACCAUAACAACUGUUAGAACAAGAUAACAACUCCAGGCCAGCUGUCAAAUGUUUACCAUUAUCAAAACUCUCCCUGGAGGGAGAUGCAACUUUGGCUCGCCUCACCGGCAGUAAUUUAAUUUUUCCUUCAUUCUGACUCGGAAAUGGCAGCAUUUUUCAAAGCUUCCUCCCACUGAUGGCUGAAAUUUUCCUUGUGAAAUGAUUUCCACCAGUCUUGAAUCUUUCUUGUUUCUGCCGUCUUCACCUUUGCUGAUGGUUCUGCAACUCAUCACCAGCUAUGCAAACUGACAGUUCACAUCCUGGGGCAGCAGCGGGGUCUGGCCUGCAGAAAGGAGCAGCCUGGCCGAAUUUACGCUCACAAGAUCUCUUAAUUCACAAAAGCAUUUGCUCUAGUUCCUGUUCUCUGCUGCAGGGGCUACGGAGAGGGAGUGGGGGUGGGGGGCAGGACCACUGGGAGAAUGUGCUGAAGAAAAGAGAGGCUCUCUUCACACUCUACUGAGUACACAGACUUUGGAGAUGAAAAACAGACGGAGAGAGGCAUUUCCAACCAUCUUGCUGAUCUGUGGGGGGUGGGGGGAGUUCACUGAACUGUACAGCAUAGCACCAGACCCUCGUGUCAUUUAACGUUCCUUCUGAAAAUCGCGCUUAAAUGUUCAGCACAAAUAGCCCUCCCCCUUUGACUGAAGUUGACAAAGAAUAGCAAAAUUUAAAAGGAAGGAAAAAACAAAAUAUUGCCAUGAGAAUGACCAGACAUCCCUUUGCUCGCUCCCAAGAGUUCUGCCGAAUAGGAAAGUCCUCUUAACGAGAGUGGACAGGGGAAGUUUUAGGUUUGAGCUGAACUUCAUGUACAUGACAAAUUUCAUUUUUUUGUUUUCCUUCCCUCACAAACUUCAACCCGGGCCACUUGUUUGCAGAAACUGCCAAAUCUUCCCUGGCUGCUGCUAAGACACUCCUGGAAUUUGAGAUUGCCUUUUAUCUUCUCCCCAGUAGAGACAUGUUUUUGUCCUUUGCUCUGCAACCCCUCGACUCCUCUACAGAGGACUCACUCCUCCCUGCACAGUGUACCCCAGACAGACAGCUGCUGCGUUACUGUUCGUAGCACAGGAUCACUUAUGUCCUGUGAACCAGUUUGGGUCUGUCUGAAAAUUGCUUGUGAAUGCAGAUUGUUUAUAAUGACUGACCUCAUCGGCCUUUUCCGACCCACUCCCUCCCCGGCUGUCUGAGACAACCUAAUCAAGAUGGUGGGUUGUUUUCCUGGCUUUGAGUAUGGGACUAUAAUUAAAGUAAAAAUGAGAGAAUCCUGCACUAGAGAGGCAGCUUUGAAUCCUAAGCUUUGUUCUUCUACUAUGUUCUUCAGUUUCUUUCCUUGUAACCCACCCUCUGUGGUUACACCCAGUGAAAGAGUGGUAACACCGUGAAGUUCCUGGUUCAGACCCCACGGAUUGGGAAUGUAUGAUGAUGUGGAAUUGAAAUUGACCUGUGAGCUGUCAAGAAGUAAAGUUCAUUAAGCAAAUUGGUAUCUUAAAUAGUAUUUCAGAGAACAUUCUCUUACUGAAGAAACAAAAACAUGUCAGACACUUGUCCUCAUACAGUUAGUGGUGUCCAGCACUCCUAAUUACAGAUGUUUCUUCUGUCAAAGAAGAUCGAGUAGACGUCUGCAUGUGCAUGCAUGCUCAGUUGUGUCUGAGUCUUUGCGACCCGAUAGGGUGUAUCCCACACCAGGCUCCUCUGUCCAUGGGAUUUUCCAUGCAAGAAUACUGGAUUGGGUAGCCAUUUCCUCCCCCAUGGGAUCUUCACCACCCAGGGAUCAAAGCCGCACCUCCUGUAGUUCCUAUGUUGGCAGGAACUACCAGUGGCUUCUUUUACCACUGAGCCCCCUGGGAAGCCCCAACAGACUUCUACCUCUUAGCAAGUAUUCUUCUUAAGUAGCACUCACCUGUUUCCUUGAGACUAGCCAUUGCCUGAAUUAGAGGUAUUUUGAUAGUCUCAACAUGCUUUGGGAAUACAUACUUGAGGAGCUUACAAUUUGGUUGGGGAUGUAGAUACAAAUACUAGGGUCAUGUGUGCUAAAUUCCAGAAGAAGCAUGAUAAGAAAAUAUGUGCUAUAGGAGCUUUAGUCAGCAGAGAUAUUUAGAAAGUUCUGAAGACAGCACAUAUACAUAUAUAUGCCAUUUUCAAAAAGACCUUCCAAAUAUAUAUAAAAAUAAACCCAGACGUUUUCAGAAAUUAUUUCUAGGACUUGAUAUUUUCUCUACCCCAUAAAAUGUUCAGCUGGUAUUUAUGAAACCUCUCACAAUUUUGGAGUCAAUGGAUUUUAUUUGGUGUAGUAGUUCUUUUAUUGAGUGCUUACUGUGUACCAAAUAUUGUGUCCCAGACACAGUUCCAAAUUCUGUUUUAAGAUACUCAUGGAGGGUUCAAAAACUCAGAUGCUUCAACGGCCAGGUUUAAGCCGCAGGGGCUAAUCUAUAGCAAAUUACCUGCAUUUAAGGUUCUGUUGCUACUCUGCUCCAUGUUGCUGUUGCAGAAAUGUGGGCUUGGAGUUGCCAGACCUUCCAUUUAGUCGAGAGAGACAGGAAAUUCACAUUUUUAUGGAUAUUUCCUGAUUUUUAAAACAGUAUGGGCCAAGUAAAAGUUUGUGACUUGUGCCUUAUAGACUCAACUCCACUGUUUCCUCACAGCAUCCCUACAAGAUACGGAUAAUCGGUUGUAUUUGCCCACUUUCAACACAGCCGAUAAGUAGCAAAAGUAGUUUUACCCCGGGUCUGUCUGACUCCAAAAACUACAGCAUUACUCUGCCCUCUCUUUUCUCCCCUAGAUUCUUGGGAAUGGUGCUGGGGAUAGUUUUGGCAGAAAAGCACUGUUUGGUUAAAGCCAAACGCUUCAUAAAACCAUCAAUCCUAUAGCCUUGUACUGCAGAACGUCAUCUUCCAGAGAACAGUGACGUAUGGCUUUGGGGGGAGUUAAUUAUAACAUGAAGGUAUUGGGUGAUUAAAUUCCAAACAAAAACUCUAUUACCUUUCCUGCACAUUUAUUAUUUCAACCUCAUUCUACUUCUAGAAAAGCUGCACAAAUACUCUAACCCGUCUGCAGAGUUCUCUGCUUCACAGAGUGGCAGAAGUAUUAGCGGCAGUUUUACAAGGCCUGACCUUGCCAGAGACAGAGGAGAAAUCCGUCGCUCUCAGGAUCUCCGCAAUAUUCAAGCACUUUUGUUAAAAUUCUGACAUGAACUUUGUGGCCUGAAGGAGUUAACACACCUCCACAAACCUGCCUUCAGCUGGUAAGAUCAGGCCCAUGAUUAUUAUUAUAUACAGCUGUAAAAAGCUGGUUACAUAGCAUAAAUUGCAUUGAAACACUUAGGCCACAAGAUUACUCAAGAAGAAUUGUAUUGCUUGUUCAGUCAUAUAUUUUGAUCUUUAUUGCUGGUAGUUUAUUCUCCUGAGAGUUGGGGAUUAGCCUUGCUUUUAAUGUAAAAAGUGUAUCUAUGAGGGUAAAAAUAUAAAAUGAAAAUAGAUUUUUAAUGGCAACUUUGGUUCUUAGCAUUAAUUUUACAUGCCGUUUUCAUUCUGAACUUUUAAACAGUUUGGAGAAACAUAUGAGAGAUUUGUGAACAGGGGCAAGAGAGGGUCAAAUGUAUCAAAUCCUUGGAUUCCAGCAAAUGUAGGAUUUGUGGACGAGCAGAGAAGCACACAUGUGUUGGGAAUGUAAAUUAAAAUAAAACCUCACUUUGUGGAGACUUGGGAGAAGCGAACACACCACGUUAUGGCGAAAUGUCUGAGGCACAUUCGUCUCCUUAAUAAAUUAACCAAAUAUUAAAAUAAACAUUCGUUUUUAUCAGUCUGCAUUUUUUCCUCUCUGGAUGAAAGUGUUUCAGGAAAAAUCAUAAAAGAAUCUAUGGUAGCUCAGAGAGGUUAAACUCAACAGUUGUUUUCUUUGAAGUCCCUGGCCAUGAGGUUAAUUGCCAAAACUGCUUGUGGAAAAGGUGGUAACAAUUUAACAAGACUGUACAACUGCAGAGACUUAGAUGAAUAUCAGGUGUUUGCAGAUGGUUUUUUUCCUCACAGGAAAGGGGGUGGGGAGGAGAGGAACAGAAUGAGAAACAGGGGAAGAGAGAGGCCUGAAUGAAGUCCCAGCUAAACAGCCAAUAAUUCUUUGUUUGCUUAGCCAAUCAUCCUGUAAUUGGCCGGGAGGUUAAUAGGACUCUAUUGAUUGGCCGGGAGGAGUGCUUACUGUGGCUAUUUUUACUGUACGCUCCCAGACAGGAGGCUGCAAUUACUGGAGCUCUCAUUCCCACUUUUUAGGGCCUGAUUUAUGAAACCCGAUCAGGUCACUCUUGGCAGUUUGUGUUUUAAGUGUUGCCUUCUGGGUCUUUGCUGCUUAGGGGUCAGUGAGCUAUUUCUCAUCAUUUAUUGUGGUCAUUUGAAUAGCUAAGCUUCUUUAUGACUUAUUGAAGGAGGAAUACAUUAAAAAUAAUCACUACCACCCACGUGGACUGAAAAGUGGGAACCAUGGGACAAGCUGUGUGAUAGAGCCCAACCUGUUCUAGAAAGCGAAAAUUCUGCCCCUGGCAGAGAGUUCACUGAAGAUCACGAGAUAAAAUGCUGCGGUCCUCUCUUUAUCUGCCUUCCACUGACAGGUUUCUCAGCUCUCCCUGUUCCUUGGCCUUUCUUGAUUAUACUUGGAUUUGCUUUUGUAGAAUUUCUAAUAAUUGGAUUUGGUGGCUGCUGUUUUGGAGCUCAGAAAACUAAGGCCACAUCCAAAAUGCCUCGCACCAUCCACUUUGUUUCCAGGGCUCCUGACAGGGCCUUUCCGUCUUAACCCAUCCUGACCUGGUCCUGACCCGAGCGUUACUAAUAAGUUCAGCAUUCCCUGGGAACCCAUCUAAGGGGAGUGAAUCUCUGCUGUUGAUAAGGCCCUGAGCCACAGAUUUCUGGAGAGCCACAUCUAGACAACUAGAGUUCACCUUUACCGCCAGCUGGUCACUGCAGGCUGUGAUGACCCCAAUUACUACUGCUACUGCUGCUGCCUCCUGUUUCUCCUACUUCUUUAAUUUUACUGCUGUUAUUAAAACAACAACAACAACAAAAA